CCAGGGUUGAAACAAGUGAUUCCUGUGUAUUUGAAUGCCUUCUGUUCACUUUUGUCGCCUAAAACAAUCGUAUGUGGAGAUGGAUACAGAUGAAGACAGUGAUCAUAAUUCCAGAUAACUGGCUGAACAAUAAGAGGAAGUGGGCAGAGAUGACUUUGAUGGGUUAUGGUAGCGACCAGAUGUUCAAAGGGAUCAGCAGUCUCCUCUGUAGAAGGGGGCAUCAAACAUGAACGACGCAUCCUAUACAGCAGAUCAUAUCGAAAAAAUACAAUUUCUUGUGUGUAGAACUUGACCCUGCAAGGAUUACUUGAAAAUAUGGCAUUUGGAAUGUACUUCUGAAGCUCUUCAGUUAGAUACUUCGGUAAAGCGCACCUAGGUAGUACCGUUGAUGGACCUGCAUCAUCAGGACCUGGAAUAAAUAGAAACAGGCUAUGCUCUUUUAGCCUUGGAUGUGCUGCAAUCAUUUUCCCUAGCUUUCCAAACUGUAAUCUGAGACUUGAAAAUGAAUGAAAGGAAAGAUUGCAAGGAUGAGAACAAAAAUUCCCCAUGAAAACAAACAGAGAAGGAACAACUUCUUGAAUCUCAAAGCCAUCAAGUACAGUCUCCAGCUUUCCCAUUGCCUCUUCACUAUCUAGCCAAAUGUCUGAGAGUAUGACAAACAUGGCAUUAACAGCUCUGUUUUCCAGCUCUGCAAGUCUUAGGGUCUCCUCUUUUGUUAAAGUACCACCACCAAAGAAAUCAUGUUGUCCAAGUAAUUUCAAUGACUUGUCUCUGUCCUCUAAUGGAGGAAACCCACAUGUAAAUACCUGAAAAAUACCAUCCAAGAGCAUCUCACCUUCUGCAACAACAAUUGUAUUCUCUGAUAAAAAGCCUGUAGUUAUUUUGUAAUACUCCUUAAGGAAAACAGCGAUUUACAUGUAUGUUUCAUUGUACAAAUAUUAUACAUUGAACAAAGAAAAAUAGAACUAUAAAUAACUUGUACCCAAACUAUCAUUCUUAAAUAUCAGAUAAUUACUUUGGCCAAUAAAAUUCACAGUAGAUUUUGUUCCCAUCAUUACUAGAUGCCAGGUCUGGUGGACAUUGUAGUUGAAAAAAAUAAACCACCUACAUGUGAUUUAAAGCAAUCAAAAUUUGUUUUUAAGAUAGAAUGGACAUGUUUUGGGCAUUAAAACUCCCAUAUAGGUAAAAAGCACUUUCAAAAUGCUUUUUGCAACAUCUAAAAAUUAGCUUUUUUUCUAAAAAGUAAUUUCAACCUCAAUGUGAAACAGACAAGUCAUCUUUGUAUUCAAUUUGCAUGUCAUUCAUGACCAAGCAAGAAGAUAUUAAAUGACAAAUAGCAAGACAACUACAAACAUGCUACUAAAGAAGGAUCUCUUGAGGUCAAAAUGCAUUACAUUUCACACUUGACAGCAUCAAUUUUGCUAUAUCUAAGCCUUGUUUUUAACCAUCAACCAGACCCAGGGUUUUAUGCCUGAGUGCUAAAUUGCAAAGGAAGGAAGAAAACGGCUGUUAGGUUCACAUCGUGCUGAAAAUAUAUAUAAGUAACAAUAUCAUAAUAAAUGCUUAAAAGGAUAUUGCUUUAGACAAAUUGAUUUCCACUGAAGCAGUAAGAUCUUCCAAGUAGAAAUGGCCAUCCUCAAAUUGAGAUAUCACACCCAUGACCCAUCGUCUUCCUGUUUGCCCAACCAGAGACUGAAUUGGAGCUAUCUCGCAGCUUCCAUAAUGUGACAUUUCAGUGUCAAAUGCAGGUUUGGAAAAAUGCUGAUCGUGAGAGAUUCUCUGGAAGAGCAACAAAUACCUAUCCUUGUAAAGAGCAGAUUUGGCAGAAGACCCACCAUGAACAGAUAGCCCCCCAGUAUGCUGAUAAAAUUGCUUCUUGAUGGGAUCAAAGCGAAAUUUGGGGACUAAGAAAGCAUCGAUCACACGAAUUGCAGCAUGAGAAGAAACUGUGUCGCUUGAGGUUUGCUCAACUGCAUCAUCAGCUUCUAAUAAACCACUUAUAACACGGUGUAUUGGCUCCUUGUCAAUUAUGAAAGAUUUCACUCCCACUUUCUCUAAAUCCAUUAAUUCAAAUCAACAAUCAGAUUCCCAACUAAUUUGAUUUUAUUUGAUACAAUUAAUGUGAUGAUCAUUUUAGACAAAAAAAAAUUAGAGAAAUGCGGAAGGAGAAUUCUCACGUGAUUCAUAUUGAAGGUGACCUAGGAGGAGAUCAACGGCCUCAUCUUCAGCACCUUGGAAGCUGUUGACAAAGGAGAGGAUCGCUUCAAGAGCAUCAACUUUGAGCGUGUACCCUCUAAUUUUGAAUUUCUUUUGU
rnacentral:misc_RNA from 1 species